rnacentral:rRNA from 1 species
AGGCCUGUCUACGAUGUCGAUUUGGAGGUUGUGCCCUUGAGGCGUGGCUUCCGAAGCUAACGCGUUAAAUCGACCGCCUGGGGAGUACGGCCGCAAGGUUAAAACUCAAAUGAAUUGACGGGGGCCCGCACAAGCGGUGGAGCAUGUGGUUUAAUUCGAUGCAACGCGAAGAACCUUACCUACUCUUGACAUCCAGCGAAUCCUGUAGAGAUACGGGAGUGCCUUCGGGAACGCUGAGACAGGUGCUGCAUGGCUGUCGUCAGCUCGUGUUGUGAAAUGUUGGGUUAAGUCCCGCAACGAGCGCAACCCUUAUCCUUUGUUGCCAGCGGUUCGGCCGGGAACUCAAAGGAGACUGCCAGUGAUAAACUGGAGGAAGGUGGGGAUGACGUCAAGUCAUCAUGGCCCUUACGAGUAGGGCUACACACGUGCUACAAUGGCGUAUACAAAGAGAAGCGAACUCGCGAGAGCAAGCGGACCUCAUAAAGUACGUCGUAGUCCGGAUUGGAGUCUGCAACUCGACUCCAUGAAGUCGGAAUCGCUAGUAAUCGUGGAUCAGAAUGCCACGGUGAAUACGUUCCCGGGCCUUGUACACACCGCCCGUCACACCAUGGGAGUGGGUUGCAAAAGAAGUAGGUAGCUU